rnacentral:rRNA from 1 species
UACGUAGGGGGCAAGCGUUGUCCGGAUUUAUUGGGCGUAAAGAGCGUGUAGGCGGCUUUACAGGUCCGUUGUGAAAACUCGAGGCUCAACCUCGAGACGCCGGUGGAAACCGUAAGGCUAGAGUCCGGAAGAGGAGAGUGGAAUUCCUGGUGUAGCGGUGAAAUGCGCAGAUAUCAGGAGGAACACCUAUGGCGAAGGCAGCUCUCUGGGACGGUACUGACGCUGAGACGCGAAAGCGUGGGGAGCGAACAGG